UUUAAAGUGUUGUCUCCAUUCUGAUCUAUUUUGAGCAUUUUUAAAACUUGCUAUCAUCUUUUUUCAUCAUUAACUAUCAAUUGAUUUUGUUCCCUUAAAAGUUGUACAGAUUAUAUUUGGAUUAUUCAGGAAUCCAUAAGCUCUGAACAAAAUACUUUUUGGCCUGCUUAAUGUGGGAGAACAUAUAGACUUUUCUAGUUUCAGAGGUACUGGGAGACACUCCACAUCACCUCAGUGUAAACAAGUGGUUCAGAUCUCUGCUGUGAAUAUAGGCAGCUUUGGCUAAAAUCCUGUUUUGUUUUGUUUUCUUUUUUGUUUUACAAUAACUUAGUAACUUAGCCGGUAAAUUUUUAUUACUUUAAGCCUGCCAUAUGUAGUAUCAAACACAUUGAUAUGUUUGACCAAUCCUAAUAAGAUAUUUAGAACAUGAACCAAAGAAGAGUCUGCAGUCUUAGAAAUAAAAAUGUAUUGAUGGCCAUUAUGUGUCUGACCCUGGAUUGGGCAGUAGAACGUAGAGGCCCAAGAAAACCUUAAAAAGCUUACUUUGCUUUCCACAAAUCCCAUUCCGGCUGUGUUUUUCUGGUGUGAGAGCUUGACUUUUCUGCCAAAUUAAAAUUGAAAUCAUAAUUCGACAUAUUAAGCUUGUAAUUUUUCUUGUAGGAAUGAAUAAUAUCCACUGAGUAAAGUCAGCUAUGAUGCCCAGACUUGUUUAUAACCACCAAUGAUUUCACUGAAAUACAGCUGCAGGAUUAAAAACAAAAUAAUAUUUAGAGUUUUUCAACAUUUUCACAUCUUUUAUCUCAUCCAAUUUUUAAAUCAACUCCCUAAGAGUGUAAAUGAACUUAAUUAGUUAACAUAGACUAGGUUAUUCUCUGCUAAUGAACAACCUUUAAAAGUCAAUGGCUUAAAAAAACAACAAAACAAGCUAAUUUCUUGCCCACACAAUUUCUUGUUUCCUGAAAUUCCAGGUGACUCAUAAAUCCUGACUUUUUUUGUGUAUUAUAAUGCUACCAUCUCAACAUGUGUUCUCUAAACUGGUCAUGAGGAAGUGAGUUAGAGCAGUACUCUGCGAUAGAAAUAGAACGCUACCACAGAUGGAAGCUGCUUUGUAUGAAAAAGACAGUGUGGUGUUAUGGAUCAAAGUGUAAGGACCUGGGUUCUGGGCCCAGCUUCCCUUUCCCAACGGUGGGCUUUGACCACUAUUUGAGAGUCAUUAGCCCUAGUAGCCUCUUUAGUAAAUUGGAAAUAGCAAUAUUUGCUUUGCAUUUAAAGAUAUAAGGUAUUAAGUACUCUUUGAAAAUUAUAAAAUGGUGAACAAAAAUUAAUUACUUUAUGACCACCUCUCAUCCAUCAGUAUACCCUUUUCUUCAGAUUCUUGGGUCUCUUACAUUCUGCACUAUUUUUUUUUCAUGUGGCUGUUGCUGGAUGGCUGACCCGUGUGGUAUGGAUGAGCCUUCGUACAUAUGAACAGCCUGAAUGAGCCCAUUGCAGGGAACUCUGCAUAUUGUUGAAGACAAUAAGUUGAAGGACAGACAUCCAUGAAACAGUGAUUCUCAACUGAGGAUGAUUUUAUGCCUUCUACACCUUAAGGGCUAUAUCCCAUCAUUAUCAUCAUCAACAUCAUCAUCAUUUGGCUCAACUUGUACCUCACUGACUAUUGGAAACCCUCUCAAGUUACCGUUUGUGCACUUCUGAAUUAUCCUCAUCAGGUUUUGAGCAUUGCAUUCUUUUCUGGAACUGCAAUAUGUUUGAGCUCUUUGACUCUUUUCCAGUUAUGGAUCUCUGUCUUUCCCUAAAUCUCUCUCCAUAAUGUAUAACCAUAUCUUCUUCAGGGCUUAGCUUGCCUUACAUGCUUUCUCUUUAAUUGAAUUAGUUCCUUAAUGACUUUUCUGUCCAUGUGUAUGAAUAGACAUAUAUGUGUUAGUAUGUGUGUAUGUUUCAUUCUGAUUAUCACUUCC
rnacentral:lncRNA from 10 species